UACGUAGGGGGCAAGCGUUGUCCGGAUUUACUGGGCGUAAAGAGCGCGUAGGCGGAAAUUUAAGCGUGGCCUGAAAGCCCCCGGCUCAACCGGGGAGUGCGGCUGCGAACUGGGUUUCUUGAGGACGAUAGAGGAGAGUGGAAUUCCUGGUGUAGCGGUGAAAUGCGUAGAUAUCAGGAGGAACACCCGAGGCGAAGGCGGACUCCUCUGGGUCGUGACCUGACGCUGAGGCGCGAAAGCGUGGGGAGCGAACGGG
rnacentral:rRNA from 1 species